AACGAACGCUGGCGGCAUGCCUAACACAUGCAAGUCGAACGAGACCUUCGGGUCUAGUGGCGCACGGGUGCGUAACGCGUGGGAACCUGCCCUUAGGUUCGGAAUAACUCCCCGAAAGGGGUGCUAAUACCGGAUAAUGUCUUCGGACCAAAGAUUUAUCGCCUUUGGAUGGGCCCGCGUUGGAUUAGCUAGUUGGUAGGGUAAAAGUCUACCAAGGCGACGAUCCAUAGCUGGUCUGGGAGGAUGAUCAGCCACACUGGGACUGAGACACGGCCCAGACUCCUACGGGAGGGAGCAGUGGGGAAUAUUGGACAAUGGGCGAAAGCCUGAUCCAGCAAUGCCGCGUGAGUGAUGAAGGCCUUAGGGUUGUAAAGCUCUUUUACCCGGGAUGAUAAUGACAGUACCGGGAGAAUAAGCUCCGGCUAACUCCGUG
rnacentral:rRNA from 1 species